rnacentral:lncRNA from 1 species
CCCUCGAGUGAGAACACCAAGAAUGAACAAGUAUGGUUCACCAGAGAAAUCCUCCCUUGCGUUUGAGCGAGGACGAGGUCAGAUACGAGUCGUUCCCUUGCGUUAGAGGACCUCGAGUGCGGAGGAGGUAGGUUUGCAAAGGACACCUUCUCUUCGAGUGAGAACGUUAGGGUUGAGAGAAAUGGUUCAUCGGUGAAAUCCUCUUUUAAGAGGUCAGUCACAGGCUUUCCCUUGGGUUAAAAGCCUCGGGAGAGGAAAGGGCA